rnacentral:sRNA from 1 species
GCCAGGCAUGGUGGCACAUGCCUGUAAUCCCAUCAACUUGGGAGGCUGAGGCAGGAGGAUCACUAGUUCAAAGCCAAUCUCUGCAACAGCAAGGUGAUAAGCAACUCAGUGAGACCCUGUCUCUA